GAAGCUGCUUACUUAGGGGCUUGUUCCGGGCUGUGUGGACAGACAAAAGAAAAAAAGGGGGAUUUAUUUGCCCCACACACAACACACACUAAGCACCAUAGACAGCUUUGGUAGAAAGACCUCUCAUUCCCCUCCCAGCCACAGCUUCGCGGAUGUUAUUAAGCCCUUCCAAAGAUAAGAAAUAGACCUUGCCUUUCGGGACAGGGGUCUAGAGCUGGGGCACAGCUUCCUGAGCUCCCUCCUGACUUGGGGCAGUAGAGAAGCUGUGUCCCCAGGGAGGCAAGCACCUGCAGCCCCUCUGAGGCAGGAGAAGAGAGGUUGCCAGAGCCUCUGGCCACACCAGGGACCACUGCCCCUGCCUUCCCCUCCUGCCCUGUUGGCCCCGAGCACUGUCCUCCUCAGCAGUCCCUGGGCUGGGUAAUGAGUUGUGGGGUAAACAGUUACCACACCCACCCUGCACACACACACACCAGGCUGCUCCAGCGGUCUCUCAGAAGACACAGUGAGAGACCAGACAGGGCCCUUGAGAGCUUCUCUGUGAGGCUGAAACUGUAACUUCAACCUCGAAGCCUCGUAUCAGGCUGAGGUGCCCCAGAGGUCAGCCUUGGCUGGAAUCAUGCAAUGGAGAAGAGGGCAGACUGUGACAGAGGGCCUCCCCACAGGCACCCAUAGGGCAGCUGGGCACCCAUUUUCCUGCUGAGGGGACCGGAGACUCAGAAGUGCUAGCGGAAGAGCUGAGUGUGAGCUCUGUUCAUUCAAAAACCCACACUUGCCACACUGCGGUUGUCAGGUCAGUAUACAGGCCCUCCAUAGGACUGGCCAGAGACAGGCACUUCAAAGACAGAUUCCCCCAUUUGAAGGUGUUCCUAGGCAUUGGGGAGAACGUGCCCCAGGAACCUUCUCCAUCUAAGAGUCUGUUAUUCUAAGUCCCAGGCAGGGAAAUACUGCUUCCAGCCGGAUGGCAGGAUUGCGUAGAGUUCUGCUUCACAUGGACCUGGCUCUGAGCCAUUUCCUGGCAGGAGAUCCUGGGCAAGCUCCAUGACCUCUCUGUGUGCCUCCGUUUCCUCUUCUUUAAAGCAGGGCAACGACCGUACCUCCAUCAGAGGGCUGUUGUGGGAUUACGGGAGCCCAUGCGUGAAAGUGCUCAGCGCUGCGGGAAUGGCAGUUAUGACUGCCAAUGGAAUUCCAGUGUGAGGGGGGAGCUUGCAUGCUGCACUCGCUGGCAUUACUGUAAUGAGAUUUAGCCUGCACUUUGACCAAAACGAGUUCCUGUUUGCUUUAUUCAACACCUCUAGCAGUAUUGAAGAGCCUUCCCCAGAACUUGCCUGUCCUUCCGUGUCUCUGCCUUUCCCACAUCCUCUUCUUUAAAGCUUUAGACCCCGGACCCCAACUCUUGGGGGCAACAGCUUCCGAGAGCCUUCUGGAGCUGUUCAUACCCCGUUCUCCUCUCGACUCUCACAGACUGGCUCUGUUCCCUCAAGGGCCAGCUUUACCUUCUGCACCUCGGACUCCUCCAAUUCAGUCUUCAGCUCCCAAAAUCUGGGACGGAGAUUACCAGGACAGCAGGUUGGCCUCAGUUUCCAGGCUGCCUGCACUCAGCCUAGAGGCCGCCGUGUCCCUGACACGUGGGAGGAAAGGGAUCCUGGACUGAACAGUGGAAGUUCAGAUAACACCUCACACCCACUAGGAUGUUUGUGAUAAAAAAUAUGGAAAGCAGGGAAUUCCCUGGGAGUCCAGUGGUUAUGACGCACUCAGUGCUUUCACCGCCAAGGAUCGGGAUCAAUUCCUGGUCAGGGAACUAAGAUCCAGCAAGCCAUGUGGUGCAGCCAAAACAAAAACAAACAAAGGAAAACAUUGAAAACAACAAGCAUUGGUGUGGGUAUGGAGACACUAGAGCCCAUGCAUUGCUGGCAGGAAUAUAAAACAGUAUAGCUGCUAUGGAAACAGUUUGGUGGCUGUGCAGAAAGUUACAUACAAAAUUAUCACAUGGCUCAGCAAUUCCACGUCUAGGUACAAUCCCAAGAGAGAUGAAAACAGGUGUUCAAACAAAAGCCUAACCAUCACUGUUCACAGAAGCAGUACUCACUGUAGCCAAAAGGGGGAAACAACCCAACGUCCAUAAUGAAUAAAAUGUGGUCCAUCCACACAAUGGACUAUUAUUCAGCCACGAAAAGGAAUAAAGUACUGACCCGUGCUUCAACAUAGAUGAACCUUAAAAACAAUAAGGCAAGUGAAAUAAGCCAGAAACAAAAGGCCACAUAUCUUAUGAUUCCAUUUACAUGAAAUAUCCAGAGUAACUAAAUCAAUAAAGAUAGAAAGGCCUUUCUUGCUCAAUCCUGUCUAACUCUUUGUGACUCCAUGGACUGUAGCCCUGCCAAGCUCCUCUGUCCAUGGAAUUCUCCAGGCAAGAAUACUAGAGUGGGUAGCCAUUCCCUUCUCCAGGGGAUCUUCCCGACCCAGUGAUUGAACUCUGAUCUCUUGCAUUGCAGCCAGAUUCUUUACCCUCUGAGCUACCAGGGAAUCCCAUAGGGAUAGAAAAGCAGACUGUUAAUUUCCAGGGGACAGGGAGGAGCAGGGAGUGACUGCUGAAGGGUACAGGGCUUCUUUUUGGGAUGAUGAAAAUGUUCUAAAAUUGGCUGUGGUGAUGGUUGCACAACACUGUGAAUGUACUAAAUGCCACGGGAUUGUGCACCUUAAGGGUUUUUUUGUUUGCUUUGGUUUUGGUUUUGGUUGUGCUGGAUGUGCAAUGCAGCUCAUGGUCUCUUCCUUUCAGCACUUGGGCUUUCUCCAGGUGUGGCCCAUGGGGUCUUCUCUAGUUGUGGUGCAUGGGCUUAGUUGCCCGGUGGCAUGUGGGAUCUGAGUUCCCCGACCAGGGAUUGAACCCAUGUCCCCUGCUUUGGAAGGCAGAUUCUUAACCAUGGACCACCAGGAAAGUCCCUAAAGUGGUUCUAUAUUAUGAAUUUUACCUAAAAAAAAAAAAAAAAACCAAACACCUAAGGGUCUAACCAGUGGUGGUCAGCAGGCUAGGCCUGAAGCACCAGGUAACUGGCAGGGAAGGAGGGUAGGUGAGUGAAUGUGGUAGGCUGGUCCCACCCUGGAGAUUCAGUUGGGACAUGGGAUGUGCAUGCCACUAUUCACUUAUUAGACAGAUGUCUAUGGUGACCCACACAAUAACAGAUGUAGCCGUGGGGCUGAGAGCCUACAUCUGCUCCUGCUGGGCCUGCAGCUGGUUCUCUGAACCUCAGGCUUAUUAUCUGUAGGGUGGGAACGAGAAUACUACCUGCCUUCCAGGGUCAUAGGAGCAUGAAAUGGGGCGGGACUUGUAUAGGUCAGUGAGCACGUGAUCAAUGAUGGUUGUUGCUCCCCAGUGGAUGCCAACCAUUCUUCAGGAACCAAGGCAGACUGCGGUCCUGGGCACAGGGGGCUUGUGUGAUGUCUGGAGGGCUGACACUCAAGCUUGAGGAGGAAAAGUGGGAACAAUGGCCCAUGGACACCAGAUACGCUGGACGUGGGACUCACGCUUCUGCCAACCCUGCCCCAAACCAUUGCCAUGUCCAGGUAGUUUCUGCAUCAUUCCUGUCUCUUGGCUUCCUGGUUCCCGUUCAGGUGGGCAAUAGGUGCUUCUAGCCAAGCUUAGAUCCUAUGCAUGCCCAGGUGCAAGGAGGCCUAGGAAAAUGAGAGCCCAGAGGGGAGCCUCUGCCUCUUUUGAAGUGCCAUCUUUAGCUAUGGGAUGGGGGUUCAGGGGCUGGCCCUUUGGGGAGGAAGUUGUAGGGGAGGGAGCACAGAAAGAACUGAUGAGACCGGUCCACGUGUGGCAUGGGUACACGCUCAGCCACUUCAGUCGUGUCUGACCCUGUGCGACCCUAUGGACUGGAGUGUGCCAGGCUCCUCUUUCUAUGGGAUUUUCCAAGGCAAGAAUACUGGAGUGGGUUGCCAAGCCCUCCUCCAGGGGAUCUUCCUGACUCAGGGAUCUAACCUGUGGCGUCUCCUGCAUCUUCUGCAUCGCAGGUAAAUUCUUUAUUACUGAGCCGCACCAGAAGCCCUGUCCAUAUGCGUCCACAUGUGCCUAGUUUCUGGGAAGGGGGCAUCAGAGAUGGAACAUUUUGGGAAACAAGAGCUAGAGCCCGAGUUGGGGUAGGCUUGGGGUCCCUGCUGGCCAGCAGGCUCUGGGGAGGAAUGUAUGGUGGGGGGCAGUCAGUGGUGCAGGGGAUCCCACCUGUUGGACUGGGCCUUCAGGGUCUCAGGAUGUCCAGAGGCUCCAGACUCAGUGUCCUUACCUGGACUUGGGUCGGCCCCGUAUCACAUAGGUGGCUCCCUCCUGGGGAUCCCCAGGGCCCUGAGCCCAGGGCUCCAACAGCACAAGGCUGCUCUGGGCUGCAGCUGCUGCCUGCCGUCUGGGGCCCAGCUGUUCCCUGCUGGCCUCAGCCGCCCCGCCUUGCACAACCACCUGGGCGGCUCUGCAUCCCAGCUGCUGGCCUCUGAGGCCCAAGAGGGCAGGAAAGUGGGGCAGACCACCACACCCCCAACCAGUGGCUUGCCCUGAACGGAGCCCCUACUCCCCAGCCAGCCAAGAGCCCACAGCUAGCUUUGAGCUGGGGGUGGGGCCUCAAGUUGAGGUCACGCAAUCUCAGAACUUGAAUCUGCUUGGUUUCCCCGACCCCCCGCUCUCCAUCAGCAGAAACCCCCUUCGGUUCACAUCCUGGGGCCUUGAUGAGAAAAGCCCAUCCCCUGGAGCCGUCUGGUACAGGGUCUGGGGCCACCUGGUCAGUUCCAGGCCUUUACAAACAACUCUGAGGCAUGAUGUCAGAAGUUGUCCUCUCCUGUUUGCAGGUGGCCAUUUGCAGGCCUGGCCUGAGCAGCCUUGGGAUCACCUGCAGAAAGGACCCAUACACCCCUCACCGUUGGAAUGGGAGCACGUGGGAAUCAGAGCUCCCUUUACUUAGGGAUCCUGGGAACAGCUGUCAAGCCACUGCCUGGGAGGGACGAGGAGGUGUGAGUAGGAGCCGAGAUUCUUACCCGUUCAGAUGUCUGCCUGGCCUGGAGGUCACCAACUGAGACCAGAUGUGGGGCAGCUCCAUGCAUGGUGGUGGGGGUGUGGGGGUCCCUGACGAUCUCACAUGCACUCACUGGAGCCCUGUCCCAGGCUUGUCUGCUGGGGAUAAGGGGGCAGAUGAUGGAAACACCUGCUCAAGGGACUCCACAAUGUGAGGUCACGAGUGGACAGAAAACGAGAAAACCAGGCAGAGGGCAGCAGGCGGGAAACUAUCAGGGAAGCCCCCCAGCAGCUUUACAGAUGAAGAAUAGAGGCCCGGGCAGCCAGGAGAUGUCAAAGCUCUGCUUGGUGCAGGUGACCCCAAGGCUGCUCAGGCCAGGCCUGCAAACGGCCACCUGCAAACAGGAGAGGACAACUUCUGACAUCAUGCCUCAGAGUUGUUUGUCUAACCUAUAUAACAUCCAGGACUCAGUGCUCUGGAUGUACCAUAUGGUGGAGUGGAGCAGAGUUAGACGAGGUUCCAGAGUGAGUCAUACAAGCUGCAGAGAAGACAACAAAAUGAAGAAAAACAGGAGGGCCACUGCAGAACUGGAAGAUUACUUCCUAUGUGGGUGACGGUCAGAGUGAUGAAGAGGGAGUGACCCUUUUCUGGCUAUGUGUCAUUUUAUAUUUAUAACUUUUGAAUAAAAUAAUAUUUAACU